rnacentral:tRNA from 1 species
GUUGUAAUAGUUGAGUGGUAAAGCGCUUGGCUUCAAACCAAGAGGUCCUGGUUUCAAAA